rnacentral:rRNA from 1 species
UGGGGAAUUUUGGACAAUGGGCGAAAGCCUGAUCCAGCAAUGCCGCGUGCAGGAUGAAGGCCUUCGGGUUGUAAACUGCUUUUGUACGGAACGAAACGGUUCGCCUUAAUACGGUGGGCUAAUGACGGUACCGUAAGAAUAAGCACCGGCUAACUACGUGCCAGCAGCCGCGGUAAUACGUAGGGUGCGAGCGUUAAUCGGAAUUACUGGGCGUAAAGCGUGCGCAGGCGGUUAUAUAAGACAGAUGUGAAAUCCCCGGGCUCAACCUGGGACCUGCAUUUGUGACUGUAUAGCUAGAGUACGGUAGAGGGGGAUGGAAUUCCGCGUGUAGCAGUGAAAUGCGUAGAUAUGCGGAGGAACACCGAUGGCGAAGGCAAUCCCCUGGACCUGUACUGACGCUCAUGCACGAAAGCGUGGGGAGCAAACAGGAUUAGAUACCCUGGUAGUCCACGCCCUAAACGAUGUCAACUGGUUGUUGGGUCUUCACUGACUCAGUAACGAAGCUAACGCGUGAAGUUGACCGCCUGGGGAGUACGGCCGCAAGGUUG